GGAAUCUUGGACAAUGGGCGCAAGCCUGAUCCAGCCAUGCCGCGUGAGUGAAGAAGGCCUUAGGGGUGUAACACUCUUUCGCCGGGGAAGAUAAUGACGGUAACCGGAGAAGAAGCCCCGGCUAAAUGCGUGCCAGCAGCCGCGGUAAUACGAAGGGGGCUAGCGUUGUUCGGAAUUACUGGGCGUAAAGCGCACGUAGGCGGAUUUGUAAGUUGGGGGUGAAAUCCCAGGGCUCAACCCUGGAAUUGCCUUCAAGACUGCAAGUCUGGAGGUCAGGAGAGGCGAGUGGAAUUCCGAGUGUAGAGGUGAAAUUCGUAGAUAUUCGGAGGAACACCAGUGGCGAAGGCGACUCGCUGGACUGAUACUGACGCUGAGGUGCGAAAGCGUGGGGAGCAAAC
rnacentral:rRNA from 1 species